UACCAUGCAGUCGAACGAUGAAGCCCAGCUUGCUGGGUGGAUUAGUGGCGAACGGGUGAGUAACACGUGAGUAACCUGCCCUUGACUCUGGGAUAAGCACUGGAAACGGUGUCUAAUACCGGAUAUUUCAGCUGGCCGCAUGGUCUGGUUGUGGAAAGAAUUUUGGUCAAGGAUGGACUCGCGGCCUAUCAGGUUGUUGGUGAGGUAAUGGCUCACCAAGCCUACGACGGGUAGCCGGCCUGAGAGGGUGACCGGCCACACUGGGACUGAGACACGGCCCAGACUCCUACGGGAGGCAGCAGUGGGGAAUAUUGCACAAUGGGCGAAAGCCUGAUGCAGCAACGCCGCGUGAGGGACGACGGCCUUCGGGUUGUAAACCUCUUUUAGUAGGGAAGAAGCGAAAGUGACGGUACCUGCAGAAAAAGCACCGGCUAACUACGUGCCAGCAGCCGCGGUAAUACGUAGGGUGCAAGCGUUGUCCGGAAUUAUUGGGCGUAAAGAGCUCGUAGGCGGUUUGUCGCGUCUGCUGUGAAAACUGGAGGCUCAACCUCCAGCCUGCAGUGGGUACGGGCAGACUAGAGUGCGGUAGGGGAGAUUGGAAUUCCUGGUGUAGCGGUGGAAUGCGCAGAUAUCAGGAGGAACACCGAUGGCGAAGGCAGAUCUCUGGGCCGUAACUGACGCUGAGGAGCGAAAGCAUGGGGAGCGAACAGGAUUAGAUACCCUGGUAGUCCAUGCCGUAAACGUUGGGAACUAGAUGUGGGGGCCAUUCCACGGUCUCCGUGUCGCAGCUAACGCAUUAAGUUCCCCGCCUGGGGAGUACGGCCGCAAGGCUAAAACUCAAAGGAAUUGACGGGGGCCCGCACAAGCGGCGGAGCAUGCGGAUUAAUUCGAUGCAACGCGAAGAACCUUACCAAGGCUUGACAUAUACGAGAACGGGCCAGAAAUGGUCAACUCUUUGGACACUCGUAAACAGGUGGUGCAUGGUUGUCGUCAGCUCGUGUCGUGAGAUGUUGGGUUAAGUCCCGCAACGAGCGCAACCCUCGUUCUAUGUUGCCAGCACGUUAUGGUGGGAACUCAUAGGAGACUGCCGGGGUCAACUCGGAGGAAGGUGGGGAUGACGUCAAAUCAUCAUGCCCCUUAUGUCUUGGGCUUCACGCAUGCUACAAUGGCCGGUACAAAGGGCUGCAAUACCGUAAGGUGGAGCGAAUCCCAAAAAGCCGGUCUCAGUUCGGAUUGAGGUCUGCAACUCGACCUCAUGAAGUCGGAGUCGCUAGUAAUCGCAGAUCAGCAACGCUGCGGUGAAUACGUUCCCGGGCCUUGUACACACCGCCCGUCAAGUCAUGAAAGUCGGUAACACCCAACGCCAGUGGCCUAACCUUCGGGAGGGAGCUUCUAAGUGA
rnacentral:rRNA from 1 species